rnacentral:rRNA from 1 species
UACGAAGGGGGCUAGCGUUGUUCGGAAUCACUGGGCGUAAAGCGCGUGUAGGCGGAUUGCUAAGUCGGGGGUGAAAUCCUGAGGCUCAACCUCAGAACUGCCUUCGAUACUGGCGAUCUUGAGUCCGAGAGAGGUGAGUGGAACUCCUAGUGUAGAGGUGAAAUUCGUAGAUAUUAGGAAGAACACCAGUGGCGAAGGCGGCUCACUGGCUCGGUACUGACGCUGAUAUGCGAAAGCGUGGGGAGCAAACAGG